rnacentral:rRNA from 1 species
CCUACGGGGGGCAGCAGUGAGGAAUAUUGGUCAAUGGGCUUGCGCCUGAACCAGCCAAGUCGCGUGAGGGAGGACUGCCCUAUGGGUUGUAAACCUCUUUUGUCAGGGAGCAAUUGGCGCUACGUGUAGCGUUAUCGAGAGUACCUGGAGAAAAAGCAUCGGCUAACUCCGUGCCCGCAGCCGCGGUAAUACGGAGGAUGCGAGCGUUAUCCGGAUUUAUUGGGUAAAGGGUGCGUAGGCGGAUUGAUAAGUUAGAGGUGAAAUGUGCGAGGUUAACUCGGGAACUGCCUCUAAUACUGUUGAUCUAGAGUGUAGAUGCGGUAGGCGGAAUGCAUGGUGUAGCGGUGAAAUGCUUAGAGAUCAUACAGAACACCGAUUGCGAAGGCAGCAUACCAAUCCAUAUCUGACGCUGAGGCACGAAAGCGUGGGUAGCAAACAGGAUUAGAUACCCUAGUAGUC